UGGGCGUUCCGGAGUAUUGGGCGUAAGAGCUCGUAGGCGGUUUGUCGCGUCUGCCGUGAAAGUCCGGGGCUCAACUCCGGAUCUGCGGUGGGUACGGGCAGACUAGAGUGAUGUAGGGGAGACUGGAAUUCCUGGUGUAGCGGUGAAAUGCGCAGAUAUCAGGAGGAACACCGAUGGCGAAGGCAGGUCUCUGGGCAUUAACUGACGCUGAGGAGCGAAAGCAUGGGGAGCGAACAGGAUUAGAUACCCUGGUAGUCCAUGCCGUAAACGUUGGGCACUAGGUGUGGGGGACAUUCCACGUUUUCCGCGCCGUAGCUAACGCAUUAAGUGCCCCGCCUGGGGAGUACGGCCGCAAGGCUAAAACUCAAAGGAAUUGACGGGGGCCCGCACAAGCGGCGGAGCAUGCGGAUUAAUUCGAUGCAACGCGAAGAACCUUACCAAGGCUUGACAUGAACCGGUAAGACCUGGAAACAGGUCCCCCACUUGUGGCCGGUUUACAGGUGGUGCAUGGUUGUCGUCAGCUCGUGUCGUGAGAUGUUGGGUUAAGUCCCGCAACGAGCGCAACCCUCGUUCCAUGUUGCCAGCGCGUUAUGGCGGGGACUCAUGGGAGACUGCCGGGGUCAACUCGGAGGAAGGUGGGGACGACGUCAAAUCAUCAUGCCCCUUAUGUCUUGGGCUUCACGCAUGCUACAAUGGCCGGUACAAAGGGUUGCGAUACUGUGAGGUGGAGCUAAUCCCAAAAAGCCGGUCUCAGUUCGGAUUGGGGUCUGCAACUCGACCCCAUGAAGUCGGAGUCGCUAGUAAUCGCAGAUCAGCAACGCUGCGGUGAAUACGUUCCCGGGCCUUGUACACACCGCCCGUCAAGUCACGAAAGUUGGUAACACCCGAAGCCGGUGGCCUAACCCCUUGUGGGAGGGAGCUGUCGAAGGUGGGACUGGCGAUUGGGACUAAGUCGUAACAAGGUAAC
rnacentral:rRNA from 1 species